UUAUUCCGCCCUCCGCCUGGCCGGCACUUCCCGCCCUCUGGGCGGGUGCUAGGCGGGUUGGGUCCUUGGCCCCUUCACGGCCCUCCGAUUUAGGAAAUUGAGAGAAGAGGAAGUCUAAUGCUAGUUAGGAAAUCCUAGCCAUCUGUAUUACCCUGGCAUUAGGGGAAUCUGAGACCCACAGAGGUUGAAAAACUAAUCGAGAUUAUACAGCUGAUAAGGGACAGAGCCAGGACUGGUACCCAACUAAAACUCCUGAUCUAGCACUUGAAGCCACUGACCAGACAUUCUCAACUGCAGUGGGAAAACUGAGGUUCUGAACAGUCAAGAGUCUUGGUUGCUAGAAGGCAGUACUUCCACCAUGGCUGCCAGCUGGGCUCUUUAAGCUCCUCCUGCCAAGGUGUCGGAGGACAAGAAGAGGAAUCACCAUCCUGGCAGGAAUAAUUGGCCCUAGUCACCAGGAAGAGAUAUAUGCCCAGGAGUGGGAUUGCUGGAUCAUAUGGAAGAUACCUGCACCCAAACCCUUGUCUUAGGGUCUGCUUUUGCAAGAAGUCAAAGGAAGACACCUUGAAGGACGGAAAAGAUGUUGACAGAUAGAAGAAGCCUGGUGCAGUGUUCCAGAUCAUUAAUGAAGACGUUAAGUGAGACCAGAAUGAAACCGUGUUUCCGUGGCAUCCUGCUAGACACCUUCCAACAACUUGACACCCUGCCAUUUGCUGUUUCAUUACCCUUUGUUUACCUUGUGAGCCCAGGCCCUUGCUUCUCAAAGAGGCAGGAAGCUUGAUAUUUCUACUGCUGCAGAGAUGCCACUUAAAGGUGGAGCUAUUAAAACCUGGCAGAUUGUCAAUACAUCCUUUUGAAUGUGAAUUAAAUGUGGAUUAUGAAUAGAGCAUUGUCAGUAAAUACUUGGUUGCUCUCCCUCCUCUCAGAUGCCUUUGUUUUCCCUGGACUUUCUGCAGCUGUUCUGUCUUUCCUAGAGCAGAGAAGAGUAGAUGGUUGGAUCAGCGUAACUACGAACUGGAAAGUUACUGUUACAUGUGAAGACUGUGCUAGAUGGAUUGCAUUCAUAGCCCCUGUUUUUCUCCCUUCCCUGUAACCAUGCCCUCCCCAUGUAACCCUGCAGAGCCCCCUUCCACUCUGAUUCUGGCCCAGCCAUGUGACUUUCUUUGACAGAGGGAUGUUAGCAGACAUAAUGCAGACAUUGGCUUGAAAAAAGUCACUGUAUCUCUCUGCUUGCAUACUUGCACCUUCCACCACUGUGGUGAAAACAGGCCUGGGAGAGCCUGUUGGGAGAUAGGACACACAGAGCAGAGCCCAGUCACCCCAGUUGCCCAGUCAGGACAACUAGCUGACCUCCAGAUGCAUGAACAAUAAGUAUAUUGCGUAUGAGGGCUUGUGGUUUUUUGUUACACAGCAGUAGCCAUGGGCUGAUACAGUAGCACACAUCUGGAGUCUCAUGGCCUGGAAAUGCACUGAUUUCUU